ensembl:lncRNA
CCAAAGAAAUUGGAUUCAACGUAUUUGUUACCACUUUGUGGUGUGCGUUUUACUUGCGCAGUCUCGACAAUGGCGAAGCAAAUGAAGCUGUUUGAAUGUGGAGUGAAAGGUUUGACUCACCCGUCGACACCACAAACAAACGCGAGUGCAAAUUCACUCAACUGACAACGGACCAGUUCAGCCUGAACGCUGGACGCAAAACACGCAUGACGUUUAGGCAUACGAGGAAGCGCCGGGUCAGAAACUGACGCACAAACGGCCAUUUUCGCGGGCCUAUAGUAUUUGUAAUUAAUUACACAAUGUUAUCAGGUGACCAAAAAUGGCCUUUGGAGAAAGCACACACACUGCCGAGGGCCUCAAUGCUCCUCCAUCAAAAACUCACUACUAAACCCACGUGGAACACUGUAGUUUAUGGAUUUCUACUUUUUAAGCAUUUCCGUGGAGCACCCCUGCUCUAAUGGCAUCCGCUGCAUCAGUGUUUCGUUUUCCAUUUGAUAGAAGAACAAAGCACGUCGCUCCCCGCACCGGCCUCGGCCAGGGUUUGAUUGACAGGCGGUUCAUCCAAUCGGCUGCCAGGUAUUUCUCAUUUUUGAAAGUGCCAAAGAGAACUUUUGAGAUGGUUUUCUGCGCGCCAGACCAUCUGGCGCCUCAGGCUAACGUUACUCUGAACUUUUUAUUCGCAUUCCGUGUCAUCGCGAUAAUCGCGACCCGAGGGCCGAACCCACGCGGCUGAUGAUAGUUGCCGUUGUGUUCUUGUGAAGAGACGUGUAUUUAUAUUCCUUUGACCCAGCAGUCAGUUUGACCCGUGAAAUGGUGAAAUACUCACAGACAAACUUGAGAAAAGUUUCUAAGUUUUAUUUCAUAUUGUUAAUUUAAAACCCAAGUGAGUGCUUUGGCAUGGAAGAUCGGAAAAAUUCUAAAUUCCUUGGCCUUUCAAUUUCCCACUUUUCUUUUCUUUGUCUCCUCUUCCUCUCCUUCAAGUCCUCCCGCUCGUCUCCUCCGCACUGCUCUGCUGCCUUACUCUCCCACCCACACUAAUCCUUGUUUUAUUCAAGACAUGCUGUGCAACACAUCACAAUGUGCAGGACCUUGGCUCGGCUCUUUUUCGGAGGGGGGAAGGGGGGGCGGCGUCGGUUAGUUGUGGCUGCAGUACCACCGCCCCCGGGGGGCCGCCGAAGGCCCGAGUGCACCGGGCCUGGAGGACUGAGGAAGAGGGGUAUUAGCGGGCCUCUGGCCGGCGCCCCCCCCCCCCCCCCCGGAGCCCGGCGUGGCGUCGGGGGGGAGAGGAAGCGUCCCAGAGAACACCCGCCGCUCACCUCCUCCUCCUCCUUCCUCCCUCCCAGCUUUUUUUUAUAUUUU